CUUUGUAUUAUUUUGAUAUAGUUUAGGUAUUGAUUUUUGGAAAAUAUAAUAUUUUAGAAACAUGAUAACAAAUGUUAUCAUAGGUUUUUUAAGGCUGUUCUGGAAUGACAUUUGUUAGGUUUUGUUUACUUCAAGGUCUGAUACAGAAACUGGAGUAAUUCUCAUUUAAUUAAUUAGAGUAUUUUAUUGUUCAUUCGUUUGCCACCCGGCUUUUGUUUUGGGUCCUUUAAAUUCGAGAUCAUUCAGUGCGGCGUUCUUUUUGUGACGAGAUCCUCUUGAUAGUGAUCGGACGGCCGUAUAAGGGCCUGGAGCCCGGCAUGCCACGUGCUGCCGUGGCGUUCCAUAUUUUGUGUGGUGCGUUCUGUCAGUCUGACUGGCAGAAACAUGCUAAGGGUGGGAGUGCUCCGUGGAGAUCCUCGGUCUGCAGUCUGCAGGUGUCCGGAGUCGGGAAGAAGUAAAGAAUUAGAGAAUUGCAGAAGUAAAGAAUUACAGAAGUAAAAGCUUUUAACAAUUUUGAUGUGCAAGGAAACUUUCUUUGGCGUACUGGCGGAAGGUGUCUUUGGACCUUGUUUUCGUAUGGAAGGGUCAGCCCUGUCCACGUGGCGAGGGGGCGUCAGCACCGGAGUCCGGGGAGCAGCCGGCUCAAC
rnacentral:lncRNA from 1 species